UCUAGCUUAGUAUAUUUAAUACAUUGGAUUGUAAAUCCUAUAAAAGCCUUAGGCUA
rnacentral:tRNA from 1 species